ACUCCUACGGGAGGCAGCAGUGGGGAAUAUUGGACAAUGGGGGGAACCCUGAUCCAGCCAUGCCGCGUGUGUGAAGAAGGCCUUUUGGUUGUAAAGCACUUUAAGCAGUGAAGAAGAAGUUAUGGUUAAUACCCAUAAUGGAUGACAUUAGCUGCAGAAUAAGCACCGGCUAACUCUGUGCCAGCAGCCGCGGUAAUACAGAGGGUGCGAGCGUUAAUCGGAAUUACUGGGCGUAAAGCGAGCGUAGGUGGCUUAAUAAGUCAGAUGUGAAAUCCCCGGGCUUAACCUGGGAACUGCAUCUGAAACUGCUCGGCUAGAGUAGGUGAGAGGGAAGUAGAAUUCCAGGUGUAGCGGUGAAAUGCGUAGAGAUCUGGAGGAAUACCGAUGGCGAAGGCAGCUUCCUGGCAUCAUACUGACACUGAGGUUCGAAAGCGUGGGUAGCAAACAGGAUUAGAUACCCUGGUAGUCCACGCCGUAAACGAUGUCUACUAGUCGUUGGGUCCCUUGAGGACUUAGUGACGCAGCUAACGCAAUAAGUAGACCGCCUGGGGAGUACGGCCGCAAGGUUAAAACUCAAAUGAAUUGACGGGGGCCCGCACAAGCGGUGGAGCAUGUGGUUUAAUUCGAUGCAACGCGAAGAACCUUACCUGGUCUUGACAUACACAGAAUCUUGUAGAGAUACGAGAGUGCCUUCGGGAAUUGUGAUACAGGUGCUGCA
rnacentral:rRNA from 1 species